rnacentral:rRNA from 1 species
AAUCAACGCUGGCGGCAGGCUUAACACAUGCAAGUCGAACGCCCCGCAAGGGGAGUGGCAGACGGGUGAGUAACGCGUGGGAAUCUACCUAGAACUACGGAACAACUGAGGGAAACUUCAGCUAAUACCGUAUACGCCCUACGGGGGAAAGAUUUAUCGGUUCUAGAUGAGCCCGCGUAAGAUUAGCUAGUUGGUGGGGUAAUGGCCUACCAAGGCGACGAUCUUUAGCUGGUCUGAGAGGAUGAUCAGCCACACUGGGACUGAGACACGGCCCAGACUCCUACGGGGGGCAGCAGUGGGGAAUAUUGGACAAUGGGCGCAAGCCUGAUCCAGCCAUGCCGCGUGAGUGAUGAAGGCCUUAGGGUUGUAAAGCUCUUUCAGUGGGGAAGAUAAUGACGGUACCCACAGAAGAAGCCCCGGCUAACUUCGUGCCAGCCGCCGCCGUAAAAC